UUUCAAGGCUAUUUGAAAAACCCAGAGCAUCCUUUAUAGUUUUUGAACUAUUUCAUUACCCUCACCACAUAGCAUGAUAUUUGAAAGUAGAGUUUUUGUCACAGAGACAUUAUAUGAUUCAGUCCACCUUCUUUCUGCCCAUUAGCACUCCUUUUGGCCGGAGGAGGCAGGAAGAGGCCAGUAUCUGCUUGCUGAUUUGAAGAAUAGUUGAAGGAAUCAAAUGUUUAGCCUGGACUAACAUGACCACGGGAGAAAGAGAAACCAUUGUGGAGUAUUAGAAUGGGUGUCAUCAAAUGUUGACACUCACUAUACAAAGAAGAAUGAGACAUACUUUUUAUCCUCAAGAAACUCACUUGUUAGAAGAUAUGGAUACAUGAAAAACAUGUGAUGAUGAGUCCUAAUAUCUGUGCAGAAAGGGUACCUUGGUUUUGUUGAGGUCCUAGGAGUGACUUGCAGGACUCACCAACCAGAACCAUGCUCAGGUGUGGCCACUUUGUUGCCCAAUGUCACCCAUUCUUCCACCUCCUACUGCACUUCCUGCUUGAUCUGCUGGCAAAUUUCCUUCCAGAAAUGACAACAGCUUAAUUUCCAACUACCAAGAGGUGACAGGGGUGGUGCAGAGGUGCCAGCUCUGCAUGAGCCAGAGCAGCCAAGUAGCCAAUGUGGACUUGAGGAAAGAAGCAGUCCUCAUCCAUGCUGAGGUUCACCUCGAGCCUCGGUGUGUCAGGCCUGGGAACAAGAGGAGGAAGUUUGCCACGAGACUUUGGUACUUCGUGAGACACCUCAGAGGUUCUAACAGCCUCUCUGCAGCUGGCGAGUACAAGAUGAAGCAAGGUGUUUCUGAGAGCUGGAAUUGGUCCAGGAGUUGUCUUGGAUGCCACUGGAUCACAAGGAAAUUUGAUGAAUGUUAAACAUUUCUGAUGACUACUUUAAGAGAGCUUGCUUCGUAAUUCAGCUUGGAAAGAAGUUACCCACUUCUUGUGUCUGUUUUAGGUAAGUCACAUAAAUAUUCAAACUAUUCUUUUUUGUCUCAUUAAGACUUGGCAGUCAA
rnacentral:lncRNA from 1 species